rnacentral:rRNA from 1 species
AAAUUGAAGAGUUUGAUCAUGGCUCAGAUUGAACGCUGGCGGCAGGCCUAACACAUGCAAGUCGAACGGUAACAGGAAGCAGCUUGCUGCUUUGCUGACGAGUGGCGGACGGGUGAGUAAUGUCUGGGAAACUGCCUGAUGGAGGGGGAUAACUACUGGAAACGGUAGCUAAUACCGCAUAACGUCGCAAGACCAAAGAGGGGGACCUUCGGGCCUCUUGCCAUCGGAUGUGCCCAGAUGGGAUUAGCUAGUAGGUGG